rnacentral:rRNA from 1 species
GACGAACGCUGGCGGCGUGCCUAAUACAUGCAAGUCGAACGCAGUGGGGACGGGUGAGUAACACGUGGGUAACCUCACCUCAUAGGGGAUAACACUUGGAAACAGGUUCUAAACCGCUACUUAUGGAUGGGCCCGCGUGGCAUUAACUAGGUGGUGAGUUAACGGCUCACCAAGGCCACGAUGCCUAGGCGAACUGAGAGGGUGUUCGGCCACACUGGGACUUAUACACUGCCAAGAUUCCUACGGUAGUCAGCAGUAGGGAAUCUUCGGCAAUGGACGAAAGUCUGACCGAGCAACGCCGCGUGAGUGAAGAAGGUUUUCGGAUCGUAAAACUCUGUUGUUAGAGAAGCGGUAUCUAACCAGAAAGCCACGGCUAACUACGUGCCAGCAGCCGCGGUAAUUC